rnacentral:antisense_RNA from 1 species
CUUGAUCGACCCGAGCAGCAGCGGCCGAUCGCCGGGGCGAUCCUGCCCAUAGGUGGCCAGCAGCGCCUGCGCCUC